CCGAUCGACCGCGAAGCUGGAGUAAGCUUUACACAGCUGCUAUGGAGGACAACACAGAAACGGGUGCAAAAUACGAUCGCGGUGACGACGCUAGUAAUGCUAACGCAGCCCUUAUCAAUUCAUUCUGCGAGAUCACCUCCUCCUCCAAGGAAGAAGCCCUCUUCUUCCUCGAGAGUCAUCAAUGGAAUCUCGACUCCGCCGUCUCUACUUUCCUUGACAACAACAAUACUAUUCAUGACAAUAUCGACCCUGUUUCGCUUCCCACCGCUCCUUCAGCUCGUGCUGCUAACUCUUCCUCCCCUUCUUCCUCGCCUUCGGAGUCUCACUCUCCCAAUUAUUCUCCCUCGCAGUCCCCGUCACGCUCUCGCUCCCGCUCUCCUUCUCCGUCGCCGUCUCGGGCUUCUUAUCGGCUUCGAUCGAGGGGUAAGAAGCCGGCUAAGGCCGUGGCUGGUGGGAGUACGGCGCGUGGAGGGAUUCGCACGCUUGCUGAUCUGAAUCGGACGCCUGAGGUUGCAUCAGGAAGUGAUGACGACGACGAUGAUGAUGAGCGACAGCAGUAUUACACUGGUGGCGAGAAGAGUGGAAUGCUGGUCCAAGACCCUACCAAAAGAUAUGACGCAGAUGCCGUUUUUAGUCAAGCUAGACAUUCAGGAGCUGUGGAAAGGCCUGCUAAUUACCAGCAGUCUUCUUCAAGUUCAAGAAGCUUCACUGGAACAGGGAGAUUACUCUCAGGUGAGACAGUUCCAUCUGCUCCUCAACCACCUGAGGUUGUUAAUCACACUGUCACUCUCUGGAGGAAUGGUUUUACUGUAGAUGAUGGACCUUUGCGAAGGUUUGAUGAUCCCGCAAAUGCAUCCUUUCUGGAGAGCAUCAAGAAGUCUGAGUGUCCCUUGGAGCUUGAGCCAGCAGAUAGGAGGACUCAGGUCCAUCUUGAUCUCAUGAGGCGCGAGGAUAACUUCUCUGAACCAGAGAAACUCCAAAUUCCAUUCAAAGGUGUGGGAAGAAUGCUAUGUAGCAGCAGUAGCAGAGUCACCCCAGCUGCGUCCAAUCCAAGUUCUUCCACUACUCUGAGUAAGACUGUUCCAUCGCCAGCUAUAGGCCUAACUGUAGAUUCUUCAGCACCAACUACUUCAAUUCAGCUUAGGUUAGCAGAUGGUACACGCAUGGUUGCACGCUUCAACUUACAUCAUACAAUCAGAGAUAUUCGUGACUUCAUUGAGGCAUCAAGACCAGGAGGGGCAAGAAAUUACCAACUGCAAACAAUGGGAUUCCCUCCCAAACAACUCACAGAUCCAGAGCAGACAAUAGAGGAGGCUGGCAUAGCAAGUUCUGUUGUUAUACAGAAAUUCUAAACAGAUGCUUAAUUAUUUACUUUCUUGCAUACAUUACUGAUAUAUUAGGUUCUAUU
rnacentral:misc_RNA from 1 species